rnacentral:rRNA from 1 species
AGAUUGAACGCUGGCGGCAGGCCUAACACAUGCAAGUCGAGCGGCAGCACGGGUACUUGUACCUGGUGGCGAGCGGCGGACGGGUGAGUAAUGCCUAGGAAUCUGCCUGGUAGUGGGGGAUAACGCUCGGAAACGGACGCUAAUACCGCAUACGUCCUACGGGAGAAAGCAGGGGACCUUCGGGCCUUGCGCUAUCAGAUGAGCCUAGGUCGGAUUAGCUAGUUGGUGGGUAAUGGCUCACCAAGGCGACGAUCCGUAACUGGUCUGAGAGGAUGAUCAGUCACACUGGAACCUGAGACACGGUCCAGACCUCCGUACGGGAGGCAGCGAGUGGGGAAUAUGGACAAGUGGGACGAAAGCCUAGAUCCAGCCAAUCGCCGCGGUGUGUGGAAGAAGGUCUUCGGAUUGUAAAAGCUAACGUUUAAGUUAGGAGGAAGG